rnacentral:rRNA from 1 species
AUUGAACGCUGGCGGCAUGCCUUACACAUGCAAGUCGAACGGCCGCAUGAUCUAGAUUGCUAGAUUGAUGGCGAGUGGCGGACGGGUGAGUCAUACAUCGGAACGUGCUCUGUAGUAGGGGAUAACUAGUCGAAAGAUUAGCUAAUACCGAAUACGACCUGCGGGUGAAAGUGGGGGAGCGCAAGGCCCCAUGCUAUAGGAGUGGCCGAUGUCUGAUUAGCAAGUUGGGGAGGUAAAGGCUCACCAAGGAGACGAUCAGUAGCUGGUCUGAGAGGACGAUCAGCCACACGGGGACUGAGACAGGGCACAGACACCUACGGGGAGCAACAGUGGAGAAUUUUGGACGAUGGGGGAGAGCCGGAUCCAGCAAUGUCGCGGGUGUGAAGAAGGCGUUCGGGUUGGAGAGCACUUUUGUCCGGAGAGAUAUGGCUCUGGUUAAUACCGGGGGUCGAUGACGGUACCGGAAGAAUAAGGACCGGCUAACUACGUG